UUAACGUGCCUUGUACACCUUAAGUGUCCAAGGCCCGCAAAAAUUGACUUCAGUCCCUGUUAGGCGCGUGAGGGUGUAAUUUCAACGCCACAUCAGCCACCCCAACGGUAAAAUAACGUUAAAAUCAUAUUUUCCUUUCAAUUUUUGACAUACCCUCUCUCUCUUUCUUUCUUAUUUAUUCACCAUUAACCCUUCUCCAUUAAUUUGAAAUUCCUCCAUUUAAAUUCAUCUCUUUGCCAUUAAUUUCUGUCCUUUAGCAUCAAUUUCUUUCAUUCCCAUCAAUUUCUUUCCUUCUCAUUUAUUUUUGAAUCCAUGAAUUAUAAUAGGAGGCUUGUUUGUGCAUGUGGGUGUCCUCCAAUAGUGCGAAUUUCAUGGUUGGAUGACAACCCAGUCUCUAUUUCGAAUUCCAUGUAGGUUCUUUGAUUGGUAUGACCCGGAAUUUCCAACUCAAGCAAAUAUUGUCAUUUUCGGUCUGUUGAAGAAGACGAACAAGUAACAACAACAGUUGAAGUGGAGAAGGACAUUAAAAUUAGUUUUGUGCUUUAGUUUGAUGUUUAAUGUGAUAAAUGUAUUUGAUCCUAAUCUGUCGCUGAUUUAAGGCUAUGUUUGUGUUAUUUUUGUUAUUGUUAGAUGACGGAAGGUGUACAUUUUGGCGGAUAUGUGUAUGUUUUUAGCUGUUUAAGUGUACUUUUUUGCUGAUUAAAGCAAUAUAUGUGCUGUUUCUAAUA